rnacentral:siRNA from 1 species
ACGUCGUCUUGCUCAUCUACGGC